rnacentral:lncRNA from 1 species
AAAUACAUAUCUUAAGAUCCCUUUUUGCUUUUGAGAAUGGUCUUUAUAACUGAUGGUAUGAAAGGAGAUACUAAUUUAUAAUCUCCCCUAUUAAUUUUUUUGGAAGUCUUAGUUAGCAUAGAAAUUAUGCUAUUAUAUUUCAUGAUGUCUAUAUCCAUCGGAAAACACUCCUGAAAUUGAUAAAAAUUUAGAAAGGUACCAUUCUCCCCAACAAUAUCAUUUACUUGUAGAAUACCCUUACUAUGCCAGUCUUUGAAAAAAACCUGGUUUGUUAUCAAUUUGGAGUAGGUUAUUCAUCCAAAUUGGACUGGAAAGAAAAUAUUCCCAGUCGUGCAAAUUCAUUUCUUUUUCAACUACCAUUUGCCAAGCACCCA